ACCCGCAGGGGGGGUGUGAGGUGGAGACGAGACAUAUCAGAAGAACAUGGGCUUCGGGUCAGGAGCGUCCACCAGAAUGGGAGAAAGAGUCGACAAACGCCAAGAGUUGAUGUUGUUUCUUUUCAGCAAUUUCGUCCUGUUCGGAGAUGGGAGGCGAGUCCGCCCCUAAAGAUGUCACUGCUUGCGGAACAGCGCCCCCUGGUGGACUCUUGGUGACGUUCUCUGGCCCAACUGUGCACACAAGCCAUGGGUCGUCAGUCCCCCCCCUUGGCAAGACGGAGGAAAUGAAGGAUCGGAUUUUCUUAUACGUUAACUCCAAGGAAACAGCAAGUGCAUUUGGAGGAAGCCAUACCUGAAGUUAUGUUAAACACCCAUAAAUUAACCCUCAUCCCAGUUAUGUUAAAUAUCCAUAAAUUAACUCUAAAAACAGUUGUGCUAUUGUUUUGGUUAAAAGUACCAAUCAAGU